AGCAAGUAUGCCAGCAAAAUCGUUGUGGGAAAGAAGCAAGCUUGUUUGUUCUCCUUCUCUCAGUUGUUAGUGGUAAUGACUUGUGUGUUGCUUAUAGCCUCCAAAGAACAAUAGCAGUAGAUCAAAAAGCAAAUGGGAACUCUGCUUUCUUUAUGAACAGAUGAAGAAAGACUUCAAGAGAAAAAGAGGAAGCAACACAUCUCAGGAUUUGAAUCAGACAAUGACAACAGCAAAUUUGACCAAAGUGUGAGAAGAUGUGCUAAAUGGAAAGCUUCUAUGCAGAAGUAGAACAUAGUGUGAAAGCUAAAACUUCAAAAUUCUUGGUGCUGCUGGAUUCUGUGUCAGUGUUUGCCAAAGUUUCAGCUCUGGCCCAAUUCCAAAGUCUCAAACCAGUAACAAGGAUAAUAAAGACUUUAAAUUCCAAGACACAGACUUAAAAUGAACCUUGGUAAUACUACACGGAAAAUGACUGCUGCUGGUCAUGUGGAAAAAAAUAAGUGUACCUCUUGGAUGCUAAAGGAUGCACUGUAUUCAAAACUUAUUGAAUAGAUGCGUGGAGCCCGCUGGGCAAGUUCUUCAGCAAGUACCCGUGAAAAGGUUUGGCCAGCUUACGAUGAAUAAGGCAUUGGAAUAUGCAUGAAAAAAAGGAGGAAAAAGAAUUUGAGCUGCUCUUUCUAGAAAGGGUGGAUUACUGCCCCAUCUGAGAUAUUCUGUUCUGCAUCAACUUAUUAUGUAUGAGAACUGUCUGCUGAAGGAAGUCCUGUAGUAGGGAGGAACCACACACACUUCUUUUUUAGGCUAAUGAAUGCUUAAGUGUUCUUACUAGUGGUUUGAAUAUAGUAGCAUGUACUCUGCAGGUGAUUUUAUUUUUAAUUCCUUUAACAUGCAUAUAUUCAUAUGGUGCAGAACAAAACAGGGGUUAAAAAAAGAGGUGAUGAACUCUCGAUAUCCUGCUCUGUGUCAUAAAUGACUAUGCAGGGCAGUGGGUAGAAGAUAAUCAGGCCCCUAUAAUUAGUGUUUCAGUGGUACCUACGAGCUAUGACCUUGCCAUUCUGAGUGUUGACAAAACCUUCAGAUGAAAGCCUUGAUCUUGGUCUGUACACACAUGUGUGCACUCUGGGCUUUCCUUCCACGCGUUGGGCUGGAUGCUGUCUUAGCAAGCGCAAGCAGCUCUGCUCCUGUAUUGAGCAGGUGUUCCUUUGUCUGCAUCCACUGAGGGCUCUUGCCCCAAGCACACCUGCCCUACAAAGGAUAGCUCUGAUUUGAACACACACCCCACAAACACAGUUAUGCAUAGUUAUGCAUCAGGAAACAAGAAAAUAACCCAGGGUGUGGAGCAGCGUUGCAUGUAAGUAGUCAGAUUGCUUAGCCCAAAACUACACAGCUCCCUUUCCCUGGGGUGUGCCCUAGCCCUUAGGCUAUGAUGUCUCAGGCUUCAUUUUGGCCUAAUUGUCCCUACAUUUUUUAUUACACUGUGGCAAAAAUUCAGUAGAUAUUUCCUUCCCCUAAUUUUCUUGGACGCUGUAAGGUUUAUUCACAAUUCUCAUUUUGUCUGAACUUAAGGUGGCAGUGGAUAUACACUGCGGUGAGCGUUGCUGGGCAAUCAUGUAAGACAUCACUGUUUGUGCUGCCUCUCUGAUGUGGGGUGAGAGCUGUCAGAGCGAGUGUGCGCUGGGCUCCUGCCUGACUGCAAAGCCCAGCUCGCAGAUGGUCGGUAAAAAUGUGUUUGAGUCAAGACACUGGAUUUUGAAGAGGAGCAGCCAAAAUGCAGAGACACAUCCCCUCCUGCUGACUUUGCUAGAGGGAUGGGAGCUCCAGCCCUAGGUGACAGCUAACAGCUGCAGAGUGAUCGCAUCUUAAACUGAAGCAGCUGUUGCUAAGUGACUGAGCUAAAUGCGGCGUUUCCAUCUUGCAAAUUUCACAAAUUAAUUUAGUGUACAGCUGUUAAUUUAUUAGCUUAGCUAUAAAUACAUUUAUUUUCUUUUUUAUCUAUUUGCAUUUGAGACUGCCUAGCAAUAAUCGGGGAACAAAAAUGGAAUCCCCAGCAUUGUCUGCCUUCAGUAUUCUUUCCUAGCUGAUCCUGUGAUAUGAUUUAUAUCUUGCCAUCUGAUUCCUUAAUUGCAGUUUGCGACGAUUAAGAAAACUGCAUAAUACUUGAAUUGCAAGCCAGUUUCUGUUAGAAGCACAUGAAAUAAUCAUUUGGAAGACCAAUCAGGAAGCAUUCAGAUCCUCCUUGGUGACGUGCCUGCUUUAGUUCUGUCGCUU